AAGUCGUAACAAGGUUUCCGUAGGUGAACCUGCGGAAGGAUCAUUACAUUCAGUAGCCUAGCUACUUGUUUAUACCCUUGUUUUUUGCGUACUAUUGUUUCCUCGGCGGGCUUGCCUGCCGGUUGGACAAAACUAUAACCUUUUUUAAAUCUUCAAUCAGCGUCUGAAUUAUACAUAAUAAUUACAACUUUCAACAACGGAUCUCUUGGUUCUG
rnacentral:misc_RNA from 1 species